GUCUUUAUGUUUAUAUUUAAAGUCUGGCCUGCCCACUGAAAAUUUUAAAGGGCCGCGGUAUUUUGACCGUGCAAAGGUAGCAUAGUCAUUAGUCUUUUAAUUGGAGGCUUGUAUGAAUGGUCGGACAAGGGACAAACUGUUUCAAUAGAAUUAAUUGAAUUUAACCUUUAAGUAAAAAGGCUUAAAUAUUUUAAAGUGAC
rnacentral:rRNA from 1 species